rnacentral:rRNA from 1 species
AGAGUUUGAUCCUGGCUCAGGAUAAACGCUGGCGGCGUGCCUAAUGCAUGCAAGUCGCACGGAUCACUCCUUCGGGGGUGGUGAGUGGCGAACGGGUGAGGAACGCGUGGACAACCUACCCCGGCGUGGGGGAUACCCGCCAGAAAUGGCGGCUAAUACCGCGUACGGUCCAGGGGCGAGGGCUACCUGGAAGAAAGCAGUAAUGCGCGCUGGGAGGGGUCUGCGGCCGAUUAGCUUGUUGGCGGGGUAACGGCCCACCAAGGCGAUGAUCGGUAGCUGGUCUGAGAGGAUGAUCAGCCACACGGGGACUGAGACACGGCCCCGACUCCUACGGGAGGCAGCAGCAAGGAAUUUUCCGCAAUGGGGGCAACCCUGACGGAGCAACGCCGCGUGACGGAUGACGCCUCUUGGGGUGUAAACGUCUUUUGCCGAGGGAGAGAAUGGACGGUACUCGGCGAAUCAGGACCGGCUAACUACGUGCCAGCAGCCGCGGUAAUACGUAGGGUCCGAGCGUUGUCCGGAAUUACUGGGCGUAAAGCGUGCGCAGGCGGCUCGUGAGGUGUCACGUGAAAGCCCCGGGCUCAACCCGGGAGGGUCGUGGCAAACCGGCGAGCUUGAGGCCGGUAGAGGUGGGUGGAACUCCUGGUGGAGUGGUGAAAUGCGUAGAGAUCAGGAAGAACACCCGUGGCGAAGGCGGCCCACUGGGCCGGUACUGACGCUGAGGCACGAAGGCGUGGGGAGCGAACGGGAUUAGAUACCCCGGUAGUCCUAGCCGUAAACGAUGGAUACUAGGUGUAUGUGGUAUCGACUCCAUAUGUGCCGUAGUUAACACAAUAAGUAUCCCGCCUGGGGAGUACGGCCGCAAGGUUAAAACUUAAAGGAAUUGACGG